CUUCAAAUUAUACAAAAUAUUUCCUAUCUCACCAUUUACUUCUCAUUUUUUCAGUCAGUUCUUCUAUUUAUACCUUGUAAUUGACAUCUGUGAUUAAAAAAGAUCUGACUACCGUGUAUGCCAUUGUGUACUCUGUUACCAUAUGCCUUAUGAUUUAGAUAAGGCAGCUCAGUUCUGAAGCUGCUAUUUUAGCAACUCCAAUUGAUGUUUAAACAAUAGGAUGUUUUUAGACAGGAAUAAUAUCCCAUCAUAUUUCUGACUGUAUGUUACUUGAAUUCUCUAACCACAAAAGAAUUGGUAAUAAUGAUUUUCCUACCACUGAUAAUAGCACCAUAUAUUUGCGAACAGCAUUCCAGUUUACAAAUAUAUGACUUGCCCAGUGUUGCUCACAGCUAAAAUGUUGAGACUUGGAUCUGAUUCUUCAAAGGUUAUAGCUCUUGCUCACUGUACUGGGCUGUUUUUGCUGGAAUCAAUCAUUUCCUUCACAAAUAAACUGUGCAGGUAAACUCUUUAAACUCGUAUGAGCAUGAUGACAACUUAUGACAAGGAAGAUAAUGAGCAAAGAGAAUGAAUGAAGAUGUGCAUGUUGAUCUAAGCAGGGGUGAGAUAACAGGAGGCAAGGAAAGGAUAGAAACCAGGCAAGUUUUCAAUAAAAUAGGAUCUUAUCCUUUUGUUAAUUAUCUUGUCCCUUAUCAAAAAUAAAAAACCAGAGUAUUAAUAUAGAGAGAAGUGGGCAGAAUAAGAACAAGGUAGAAAAUACUCAAGCACUGUCCUUAAAGGAGCAAGAUAGAAGAAAUGAGUUAGGCUAGAAGGCAACAGUCAAAUACCCACUUCCCUUCAUUCCUGCUUUCCUGUGGUGACCACCCAGAGAAGAGUAGUCCUGUACUUUGGAAGAUAGCCAUACAGAUAUCCCACAGUGUCCUGUGAUUUUUUUUUUCUCUAUGUCUAUUCUUUCUUAAGGAUUAGAAAAAUAUUUAAGGGAGUACUAACAGGCUUUGGAUCUCUACUCAAUGGAAGCAGAUCUGUAGUUGAAAGUAUCCCUUUUGGGCUGCCAAGCACAUGUUGGUUUAACUGCAAAGACUGGGCUCUGGGAUAAGAGACUCAUAACUCUGACUAACAGCAACCCUUACUGUCACUUCAUAUAGGUCACAGAGGGCUCUGGCAUACUGGACUGGCAACUGACUACUCGAAUAAACAGCAUUAUGCCAAGAUACAAUUUUGGAUUUGACACUAAGAAUCUCCAUAUACCCAGGAAUACCUUAGAAGUGGAAUGGUUUUGGCUAGGGCUGGGACUUACUCUCUUAACUGUCAGUCUUCCUAAGAUAGUUGGCUAGCUAGAAAGGAGUCACGUG